UCGACGAACUCUGGUAUUGAUUGGUGCUUGCAUCAUGAUUUACAUUUGAGUGAGUGGCGAACUGGUGAGUAACACGUGGGAAACCUGCCCAGAAGCGGGGGAUAACACCUGGAAACAGAUGCUAAUACCGCAUAACAACUUGGACCGCAUGGUCCGAGUUUGAAAGAUGGCUUCGGCUAUCACUUUUGGAUGGUCCCGCGGCGUAUUAGCUAGAUGGUGGGGUAACGGCUCACCAUGGCAAUGAUACGUAGCCGACCUGAGAGGGUAAUCGGCCACAUUGGGACUGAGACACGGCCCAAACUCCUACGGGAGGCAGCAGUAGGGAAUCUUCCACAAUGGACGAAAGUCUGAUGGAGCAACGCCGCGUGAGUGAAGAAGGGUUUCGGCUCGUAAAACUCUGUUGUUAAAGAAGAACAUAUCUGAGAGUAACUGUUCAGGUAUUGACGGUAUUUAACCAGAAAGCCACGGCUAACUACGUGCCAGCAGCCGCGGUAAUACGUAGGUGGCAAGCGUUGUCCGGAUUUAUUGGGCGUAAAGCGAGCGCAGGCGGUUUUUUAAGUCUGAUGUGAAAGCCUUCGGCUCAACCGAAGAAGUGCAUCGGAAACUGGGAAACUUGAGUGCAGAAGAGGACAGUGGAACUCCAUGUGUAGCGGUGAAAUGCGUAGAUAUAUGGAAGAACACCAGUGGCGAAGGCGGCUGUCUGGUCUGUAACUGACGCUGAGGCUCGAAAGUAUGGGUAGCAAACAGGAUUAGAUACCCUGGUAGUCCAUACCGUAAACGAUGAAUGCUAAGUGUUGGAGGGUUUCCGCCCUUCAGUGCUGCAGCUAACGCAUUAAGCAUUCCGCCUGGGGAGUACGGCCGCAAGGCUGAAACUCAAAGGAAUUGACGGGGGCCCGCACAAGCGGUGGAGCAUGUGGUUUAAUUCGAAGCUACGCGAAGAACCUUACCAGGUCUUGACAUACUAUGCAAAUCUAAGAGAUUAGACGUUCCCUUCGGGGACAUGGAUACAGGUGGUGCAUGGUUGUCGUCAGCUCGUGUCGUGAGAUGUUGGGUUAAGUCCCGCAACGAGCGCAACCCUUAUUAUCAGUUGCCAGCAUUAAGUUGGGCACUCUGGUGAGACUGCCGGUGACAAACCGGAGGAAGGUGGGGAUGACGUCAAAUCAUCAUGCCCCUUAUGACCUGGGCUACACACGUGCUACAAUGGAUGGUACAACGAGUUGCGAACUCGCGAGAGUAAGCUAAUCUCUUAAAGCCAUUCUCAGUUCGGAUUGUAGGCUGCAACUCGCCUACAUGAAGUCGGAAUCGCUAGUAAUCGCGGAUCAGCAUGCCGCGGUGAAUACGUUCCCGGGCCUUUGGAACCCCCGCCCCNCCACACCUGGAAAGUUUGGAAACCCCCAAAGGCGGGGGGGGAAACC
rnacentral:rRNA from 1 species